UUUAGGAAAAGCUCUUUGGCAAUCGAGUGCAGGAGAGACCAGCUGGAUCACAAUAGUCCAGCAGAGAGCUGAUAAGGGUCUGCCUUGGUGUGGCAGCUAUACAAGUAGAGAGAUGUGAUGUCGGCAGGAUUUUCACUCGGAGAUGUCCACUGGGCAGCUGAACAGCAGAGCUCCGAGAGAGGUUAGGACUGGAUAAAUCACCUGAAAAUCCUUUGCUUAGUGGGGAGAAUCUACUGCAGGAGAGCUGAGGAGGUCACCACGUGGGAGCAAAUGGAGGGAGAAGAGAAGUUAAGUCUACAGCAUUUGCUCCCAAUUGAGAGAGUGGGAGCUGUUGAGGAUUGAGAAGAAACAAGAAAGUUUGGAAUAGCCACGGGUACGAGAGUGGGAGGUUCGAUCUGUUAGCAAAAAAGGGUGGCUCACUGUGCUGGGGUAAAAAGAUGGGAGCGCAAUGCCUAGCACACGGUUAGCCCUUCUGAAGUUCUUGCUGAUGAAUGGAGAGGUGGAUAAUUCCAAUGGCAUUGGAUGAAUCUUCCUUUCUUUGAGCCUCCAGAAAACAAGGGCUUUGAUCUGAGUGAUCACUAAGGGCCCUUUUCCAGUUCCAAUCCCUGUGAUCCUAUUACAUUCCCAAAGCUGAUCAUUUGGAAAUCCAGUAAGAAGCAGGACCAGACCAAGCCUUGGACACACAUACUUUUUUUUUUUAUGGGAUGCAGUCAAAACAGUUCUUUUUUAUUUUUAUUAAAACUUUUUAUUUUCAAGA